CCUACGGGGCGCAGCAGUGAGGAAUAUUGGUCAAUGGGCGGAAGCCUGAACCAGCCAAGUCGCGUGAGGGAAGAAGGCCCUGCGGGUCGCAGACCUCUUUGGACGGGGAGCAAGGCCGCCGACGUGUCGGCGGAAGGAGAGUACCCGUAGAACAAGCAUCGGCUAACUCCGUGCCAGCAGCCGCGGUAAUACGGAGGAUGCGAGCGUUAUCCGGAUUUAUUGGGUUUAAAGGGUGCGUAGGCGGUUUGAUAAGUUAGAGGUGAACUGUCGGGGCUCAACCCCGCAACUGCCUCUAAUACUGUUGG
rnacentral:rRNA from 1 species